AAACAAUGCUGAUUGUCAUGAUAUAUUCAGUGGUGUUACUAAACUGGUCAAUGGUGUUAUUUUAUCAAAAUGGUCUCACCAUUGACAGUAACACCAAUGAUUUAAGGUGUAUUUUAAGAUUUAGUUACGAAAUAAGUGCUCCAUUCCCCUAUUCUAUAUGUUGUUCCUGGUGCAUGUUUCUAUAAUCAAUAUAUUUCAUAAUUCAAAGUUCAGGAAAUGUUUUCAAAAAAAUAUUUGUACAAGGGUACACCAUGGAC
rnacentral:lncRNA from 1 species